rnacentral:rRNA from 1 species
AGACCCGAAACCCGGUGAUCUAGCCAUGGGCAGGUUGAAGGUUGGGUAACACUAACUGGAGGACCGAACCGACUAAUGUUGAAAAAUUAGCGGAUGACCUGUGGCUGGGGGUGAAAGGCCAAUCAAACCGGGAGAUAGCUGGUUCUCCCCGAAAGCUAUUUAGGUAGCGCCUCGUGAAUUCAUCUCCGGGGGUAGAGCACUGUUUCGGCUAGGGGGCCAUCCCGGCUUACCAACCCGAUGCAAACUGCGAAUACCGGAGAAUGUUAUCACGGGAGACACACGGCGGGUGCUAACGUCCGUCGUGAAGAGGGAAACAACCCAGACCGCCAGCUAAGGUCCCAAAGUCAUGGUUAAGUGGGAAACGAUGUGGGAAGGCCCAGACAGCCAGGAUGUUGGCUUAGAAGCAGCCAUCAUUUAAAGAAAGCGUAAUAGCUCACUGGUCGAGUCGGCCUGCGCGGAAGAUGUAACGGGGCUAAACCAUGCACCGAAGCUGCGGCAGCGAACGUAUCACCCAAGACAACUUUACGGAGUUGACGAUUGACGGAGCGAAGCGACGUCAAAGCGUUCAUUAAAGUCGAGUUGGCUUAGGGAUACGUUCGUUGGGUAGGGGAGCGUUCUGUAAGCCUGUGAAGGUGUGUCGUGAGGCAUGCUGGAGGUAUCAGAAGUGCGAAUGCUGACAUAAGUAACGAUAAAGCGGGUGAAAAGCCCGCUCGCCGGAAGACCAAGGGUUCCUGUCCAACGUUAAUCGGGGCAGGGUGAGUCGACCCCUAAGGCGAGGCCGAAAGGCGUAGUCGAUGGGAAACGGGUUAAUAUUCCCGUACUUGGUGUUACUGCGAAGGGGGGACGGAGAAGGCUAUGUUGGCCGGGCGACGGUUGUCCCGGUUUAAGGGUGUAGGUGUGUGUUCCAGGUAAAUCCGGUUCACUUUAACACUGAGGCGUGACGACGAGGCACUACGGUGCUGAAGCAACAAAUGCCCUGCUUCCAGGAAAAGCCUCUA